rnacentral:tRNA from 3 species
GGAGAGGUCGCAUAGUGGCCUAGUGCGCGCGCUUGGAAAGCGCGUAAGGGUAAAACCUUCGAGGGUUCGAAUCCCUCCCUCUCCG